rnacentral:rRNA from 1 species
GACGAACACUGGCGGCGUGCCUAAUACAUGCAAGUCGAGCGGAGCGGCGGACGGGUGAGUAAUGCCUAGGAAUCUGCCUGGUAGUGGGUGAUACCGUCCGGCAACGGGCGCUAAUACCGCAUACUAUCAGAUGAGCCUAGGUCGGUUUCGCUAGUUGGUGGGGUAAAGGCCUACCAAGGCGACGACCCGUAACUGGUCUGAGAGGAUGAUCAGUCACACUGUAACUGAGACACGGUCCAGACUCCUACGGGAGGCAGCAGUGGGGAAUAUUGGACAAUGGGCGAAAGCCGAAUCCAGCCAUACCGCGUGUGUGAAGAAGGUCUUAGGAUUGUAAAGCACUUAAAGUUGGGAGGCGUUACCAACAGAAUAAGCACCGGCUAACUUCGUGCCAGCAGCCGCGGUAAUAC